rnacentral:rRNA from 1 species
ACGGAGGGUGCAAGCGUUAUCCGGAUUUAUUGGGUUUAAAGGGUGCGUAGGCGGUUAUAUAAGUCAGCGGUGAAAUUUUUCGGCCCAACCGGAAACAUGCCGUUGAUACUGUAUAGCUUGAAUAUGGUUGCUGUGAGUGGAAUAUGUAGUGUAGCGGUGAAAAACUUAGAUAUUACACAGAAUAUCGAUUGCGAAGGAAACUCACAAGGACAUUAUUGACGCUGAGGCUCGAAAAUGUGGGGCUCAAACAG